rnacentral:rRNA from 1 species
CCUACGGGGUGCUGCAGUGAGGAAUAUUGGUCAAUGGACGAGAGUCUGAACCAGCCAAGUAGCGUGAAGGAUGACUGCCCUAUGGGUUGUAAACUUCUUUUAUAAAGGAAUAAAACGAGGCACGUGUGCCUUUUUGCAUGUACUUUAUGAAUAAGGAUCGGCUAACUCCGUGCCAGCAGCCGCGGUAAUACGGAGGAUCCGAGCGUUAUCCGGAUUUAGUGGGUUUAAAGGGAGCGUAGAUGGGUUGUUAAGUCAGUUGUGAAAGUUUGCGGCUCAACCGUAAAAUUGCAAUUGAUACUGGCAGUCUUGAGUACAGUUGAGGUAGGCGGAAUUCGUGGUGUAGCGGUGAAAUGCUUAGAUAUCACGAAGAACCCCGAUUGCGAAGGCAGCUUACUAAACUGUGACUGACAUUGAUGCUCGAAAGUGUGGGUAUCAAACAGGAUUAGAUACCCGGGUAGUC